rnacentral:rRNA from 1 species
AUUGAACGCUGGCGGCAUGCCUUACACAUGCAAGUCGAACGGCAGCACGGGUGCUUGCCCCUGGUGGCGAGUGGCGAACGGGUGAGUAAUACAUCGGAACAUGUCCUGUAGUGGGGGAUAGCCCGGCGAAAGCCGGAUUAAUACCGCAUACGAUCUACGGAUGAAAGCGGGGGCCCUUCGGGCCUCGCGCUAUAGGGUUGGCCGAUGGCUGAUUAGCUAGUUGGUGGGGUAAAGGCCUACCAAGGCGACGAUCAGUAGCUGGUCUGAGAGGACGACCAGCCACACUGGAACUGAGACACGGCCCAGACUCCUACGGGAGGCAGCAGUGGGGAAUUUUGGACAAUGGGCGAAAGCCUGAUCCAGCAAUGCCGCGUGUGUGAAGAAGGCCUUCGGGUUGUAAAGCACUUUUGUCCGGAAAGAAAUCCUUGGCCCUAAUACGGUCGGGGGAUGACGGUACCGGAAGAAUAAGCACCGGCUAACUACGUG